GGGGAUUUAGCUCAGCGGUAGAGCGCUUGCCUAGCAAGCGCCAGACCCUGGGUUCGGUCCCCAGCUCCG
rnacentral:tRNA from 1 species